rnacentral:rRNA from 1 species
AACCUGCCCAAAGUGAGGAAUAGCCACCGAAAGGUGGUCUAAUACUUCAUAAUAUCCAUCUCGUAUGGAUUAAAGCUUUAUGCGCUUGGGGAGGGGCCUGCGUAACAUUAGCUUGUUGGUGAGGUAAAAGCUCACCAAGGCUUCGAUGUUUAACUGGUUUGAGAGGAUGACCAGUCACACUGGGACUGAGAUACGGCCCAGACUCCUACGGGAGGCAGCAGUAAGGAAUCUUCCACAAUGGGGCAACCCUGAUGGAGCAAUACCGUGUGCAGGAUGAAGCGUUUCGGCGUGUAAACUGCUUUUAUCACCGAAGAUUAUGACUGUAGGUGAAGAAUAAGGACCGGCUAACUACGUG